AGAGUUUGAUCAUGGCUCAGGACGAACGCUGGCGGCGCGCUUAACACAUGCAAGUCGAGCGAGAACCAUUCCUUCGGGAAUGGGGACAGCGGCGAACGGGUGAGUAACACGUGGGUAAUCUGCCCUCGAUUCUGGGAUAGCCCGGGGAAACCCGGAUUAAUACCGGAUAGCCUCUCGAGCUUUCGAGCUCUUGAGAAAAGGUAGCUUCGGCCUCCGAUCGAGGAUGAGCCCGCGGCGGAUUAGCUUGUUGGUGGGGUAAUGGCCUACCAAGGCGACGAUCCGUAGCUGGUCUGAGAGGACGAUCAGCCACACUGGGACUGAGACACGGCCCAGACUCCUACGGGAGGCAGCAGUGGGGAAUCUUGCGCAAUGGGCGAAAGCCUGACGCAGCGACGCCGCGUGGGGGAAGAAGGCCUUCGGGUUGUAAACCUCUUUCAGCAGGGACGAAGCCACUCGGGUUAAUAGCCCAGAGGGUGACGGUACCUGCAGAAGAAGCCCGGCUAACUACGUGCCAGCAGCCGCGGUA
rnacentral:rRNA from 1 species